UCAGGCGGUCGGACGGCUGCUCCCUAAGGGGAGAGGAAAGUCCGGGCUCCAAGGAGAAAGGGCGCCGGGUAACGCCCGGCCGGUUUUUCCAGAGAUGGGAAACCCGAGGGAUAGCGUCACAGAGAUUGAACCGCCCCGCUUGCGGGGUAAGGGUGAAAAGGUGCGGUAAGAGCGCACCGCUCGUCCGGCGACGGAUGAGGCAUGGCAAGCCCCGCCCGGAGCAAUGCCGAAUAGGGACCGCACGCCCGCAAGGGCCGGGGCGUCUCCGCCUCGAGCGGUCCGGGUUGGCAGCUGGAGACGCCGCGCAAGCGUCGUCCAAGAGGAAUGGCCGUCCCUUCGCAGGAAGGACAGAACCCGGCUUACAGACCGCCUGACGCG
rnacentral:RNase_P_RNA from 1 species